UACGUAGGCAGCGAGCGUUGUUCGGAGUUACUGGGCGUAAAGGGUGUGUAGGCGGUUCUUUUAAGUUUGGUGUGAAAUCUCCCGGCUCAACCGGGAGGGUGCGCCGAAUACUGAGGGACUAGAGUGCGGGAGAGGAAAGUGGAAUUCCUGGUGUAGCGGUGAAAUGCGUAGAUAUCAGGAGGAACACCGGUGGUGUAGACGGCUUUCUGGACCGUAACUGACGCUGAGACACGAAAGCGUGGGUAGCAACCAGG
rnacentral:rRNA from 1 species